AGAGUUUGAUCCUGGCUCAGGAUGAACGCUGGCGGCGUGCCUAAUACAUGCAAGUCGAGCGGCAGCGCGGUCUUCGGACUGGCGGCGAGCGGCGGACGGCUGAGUAACGCGUAGGAACGUACCCCAAACUGAGGCAUAACUGCUCGAAAGAGUAGCUAAUACCGCAUGUGCUCUAAGGAGUAAAGCUUCGGCGGUUUGGGAACGGCCUGCGUACGAUUAGAUAGUUGGUGAGGUAAUGGCUCACCAAGUCGACGAUCGUUAGCUGGUCUGAGAGGAUGAUCAGCCAGACUGGGACUGAGAACGGCCCAGACUCCUACGGGAGGCAGCAGUAGGGAAUUUUCCACAAUGGGCGAAAGCCUGAUGGAGCAACGCCGCGUGCAGGAUGAAUGCCUUCGGGUUGUAAACUGCUUUUAUCUGUGACGAUUAUGACGGUAGCAGAUGAAUAAGGAUCGGCUAACUCCGUGCCAGCAGCCGCGGUCAUACGGAGGAUCCAAGCGUUAUCCGGAAUUACUGGGCGUAAAGAGUUGCGUAGGUGGCAUUGUAAGUUUGUAGUGAAAGCGUGCGGCUCAACCCCAUACACAUUAUGGAAACUGCAAAGCUAGAGGACAAGAGAGGUUAUUGGAAUUCCUAGUGUAGGAGUGAAAUCCGUAGAUAUUAGGAGGAACACCGAUGGCGUAGGCAGAUAACUGGCUCGUUCCUGACACUAAGGCACGAAAGCGUGGGUAGCAAACGGGAUUAGAUACCCCGGUAGUCCACGCCGUAAACGAUGGAUGCUAGCUGUUAUCGGUAUCGACCCCGGUAGUAGCGAAGCUAACGCGUUAAGCAUCCCGCCUGUGGAGUACGGUCGCAAGACUAAAACAUAAAGGAAUUGACGGGGAC
rnacentral:rRNA from 1 species